UUACGCCAUUCUCCUGCCUCAGCCUCCGGAGUAGCUGGGACUACAGGCGCCCACCACCUCGCCCGGCUAGUUUUUUGUAUUUUUUUUUAGUAGAGACGGGGUUUCACCAUGUUAGCCAGGAUGGUCUCGAUCUCCUGACCUCGUGAUCUGCCCGUCUCGGCCUCCCAAAGUGCUGGGAUUACAGGCUUGAGCCACCGCGCCCGGCCUGAGAUGCUGUUUCUUAAGACCCAGCCAUUGAGGCUCACUGUCCUGAUAUUCGGCAGAUCACAGCCUGCCUGAUGGUCAAUCACUUCACAGUUGUAGCAUUUUUUGGAAUUUUUUAUUUUAAGACAGGGUCUCAGUUGGCCGCCUAGGCUGGAGUGCAGUGGCGCAAUCUCAGCUCACUACAGCCUCCACCUUCAGGGCUCAAGCGGUCCUCCCACCUCAGCCUCCCGAGUAGCUGGGAUUACAGGCAUGUGACACCACACUGGCUAAUUUUUAUCUUUUAGUAGAGAAGGGUUUCACCAUGUUGGCCAGGCUGGUCUUGAACUCCUGGCCUCAGGUGAUCCGCCUGCUUUGGCCUCCCAAAGUGCUGAGAUUACAGGCGUGAGCCAUGGUGCCUGGCCCCAUCUCUAUAAAAAAUUUUAAAAGUAGAGCCAGGUGUGGUGGCAGGUGCCUGUGGUCCCAGCUACCCAGGAGGCUAAGGCAGAAGGAUCGCCUGAGCCCAGGAGGUGGAGGCUAUGGUGAGCUAUGAUGGUGCCUUUGCACUCCAGCCUGGGCAACAGGAAGACCCUGUUUCAAAACUAAAACAAAAGAUGGAAGGAGCCAAAGGCUUCCUGCCCUGGGUUUCAUUUCUUUUCUCUGAGUCCUGGGGGAGCAGAGAGUCCCCACUCUUCCAGGGACACACACACUCACCCACUUUCCCAGACCCAGGGCCUGAUGGCAGCGCCUCACCCCACAGGUGGAGGAGAAGAUCAAGCAGACGCACCGCAAGUACCUGCUGCAGGAGCAGCUGAAGAUCAUCAAGAAGGAGCUGGGCCUGGAGAAGGACGACAAGGACGCCAUCGAGGAGAAGUUCCGGGAACGCCUCAAGGAGCUGGUGGUCCCCAAGCAUGUCAUGGAUGUUGUGGACGAGGAGCUGAGCAAGCUGGGCCUGCUGGACAACCACUCCUCGGAAUUCAAUGUCACCCGCAACUACCUAGACUGGCUCACGUCCAUCCCUUGGGGCAAGUACAGCAACGAGAACCUGGACCUGGUGCGGGCACAGGCAGUGCUGGAGGAGGACCACUACGGCAUGGAGGACGUCAAGAAACGCAUCCUGGUGAGCCAGUGUCUGGCCUGCUGUGGAUCUGCAUGUGGGCAGUGGGCCCGGGCCCAGGACUCUGUGUGCUGUGGGUUGAGAUUUCAAAGGAGCCCCCUGGUGAAUUCGUAGGCCUGGGGGUGCUGGUCGGGGGGAUCCUGAUGGAGGGAGCAUCCUGCCCUGCCCCCCGGGGGCUCGAGGAUUUCCCCGAUGGACUGAAGUCAUGCCUGAUAGGCCGAGCAUGGCGGGGCUGCUUGUCCCAGCUACUCAGGAGGCUUAGGUGGGAAGAUCACUUGAGCCCAGGAAGCUGAGGCUGUGGUGAGCUGUGAUCGUACCACUGCACAUCAGGUUAGGUGACAGAGUGAGACCCCCAUCUCUACAAAAAAUUUUAAAAUUUGGGCCGGGCGCCAUGGCUCAUGCCUGUAAUCCCAGCACUGUGGGAGACCGAGGUGGGCAGAUCACAAGGUCAGGAGAUUGAGACCAUCCUGACUAACACAGUGAAACCCCAUCUCUACUAAAAAUACAAAAAAUAUUAGCUGGGCGUGGUGGCGGGCGCCUGUAGUCCCAGCUACUCGGGAGGCUGAAGCAGGAGAACGGUAUGAACCCAGAAGGCGAAGCUUGCAGUGAGCCUAGAUCGCACCACUGCACUCCAGCCUGGGCAACAGAGCAAGACUCCAUCUCUCAAAAAAAAAAAAAAAAAAAAAGCUGGGUGCGGUGGCUCACGCCUGUAAUCCCAGCACUUUGGGAGGCGGAGGCGGGUGGAUCAUGAGGUCAGGAGAUUGAGACCAUCCUGGCUAACAAGGUGAAACUCUGUCUCUACUAAAAAUACAAAAAAUUAGCCGGGCACGAUGGCAGGUGCCUGUAGUCCCAGCUACUCGGGAGACUGAGGCAGGAGAAUGGCUUGAACCCAGGAGGCGGAGCUUGCAGUGAGCCGAGAUUGCACCACUGUGCUCCAGCCUGGGUGACAGAGUGAGACUCCAUCUCAAAAAAAAAAAAAAAAAUUAGUCUGG
rnacentral:lncRNA from 1 species